UACGAAGGGGGCUAGCGUUGUUCGGAAUCACUGGGCGUAAAGCGCACGUAGGCGGACUUUUAAGUCAGGGGUGAAAGCCUGAGGCUCAACCUCAGAACUGCCCUUGAUACUGGGAGUCUUGAGUAUGGUAGAGGUUGGUGGAACAGCAAGUGUAGAGGUGAAAUUCGUAGAUCUACGAAGGAACGCCAAAAGCGAAGGCAGCUCUCUGGGUCCCUACCGACGCUGGGGUGCGAAAGCAUGGGGAGCGAACAGG
rnacentral:rRNA from 1 species